rnacentral:rRNA from 1 species
GAAUUUUGGGCAAUGGCCGAAAGGCUGACCCAGCGACGCCGCGUGCGGGAGGACGCCCUUCGGGGUGUAAACCGCUGUCGGAGGGGAAGAAACACUCGGGUGGGAAUACUGCCCGGGCUUGACGGUACCCUCAAAGGAAGCACCGGCUAACUCUGUGCCAGCAGCCGCGGUAAUACAGAGGGUGCAAGCGUUGUUCGGAAUCACUGGGCGUAAAGCGCGCGCAGGCGGGACGACAAGUCGGGAGUGAAAUUCCGGGGCUCAACUCCGGAACUGCUUUCGAAACUGUCGACCUGGGGACCGGUAGAGGCUGGUAGAAUUCCCGGUGUAGCGGUGGAAUGCGUAGAGAUCGGGAAGAAUACCCGUGGCGAAGGCGGCCAGCUGGGCCGGAUCCGACGCUGAGGCGCGAAAGCGUGGGGAGCAAA